rnacentral:rRNA from 1 species
AUGCGAGGCAUCGGCGCCGCCGCCCGGCGGCACGCGCACCUCCCCUCCUCCUACGCCGCCGCGUUCUCCUCCUUCUCCGGCAUCGGGGGCAGCGGUGGCGCUGGGCGCGGGCGCGGGCGCGGCCUACCGCCCUCCGCCUCCGCGCCGCCGCGCGCUCCCGGGAGCCCCAUCCCCGAGGACGACAAUGGAGUGGAUCUCUUCGCCGCAUCAUCUUCUGCCGGCCGUGGCCGCGGGGAGCCCGUGAUCCCGCCCUCCCCCACCACCCCGUCCUUCUCGUCCUUCUCCGGCGCCGGCCGCGGUCGCGGAUCCCCGCUGCCCCCGCCGCCGCCGCCAUCCGACGAAGAUGCCCCCAAGCAACCCACCUUCGCAAAGCGCUUCGACUCCGUCCCUCCCCCCUCCGAUCCGGAGCCGCCAGCCACCGCUGCCUCCUCCUCAUCCGAGCCGCCGCGUUCGAUCCCUACCUCCGGCGCGGGCCGCGGCGUGCCGCGUGUGCAGCCACCGGUGGACAGGCCCCCCGAGGAGAACCGCUUCGUUCGAAGCCGCGAGGCAAGGAAAGCUCCGACCCCUUCGGCUCCAAGCGGGCAGCCGAGAUUGGCGCCACAGGAGGCUGUGAAGCGUGCUUUGGAGCUCCUUGGCCGUGGCGAUACUGGCGGUGGACGCGGCAGAGGGGGGCGUGGGGGCCGCGGAGGUGGCCGGGACGGUGGCCGUGGUCGGCCUGCUGACGUGAACGAGCGGGAAAAGGUCUUCUUGGGUGACAACGCUGAUGGUGAGAAAUUCGAGAAGCGGCUCGGGCCUGAGAAAAUGAAGAUUUGGGACGAGGCGUUCGAUGAGGCAGCAGAUGAGGCACUGCCAGAGCCGAUUGAUGAUGCGCUUCUCAACGCUAUUCAUACCAAUAACAUGAUUGAGUUUGAGCCAGAGUACAAUGUGAGCUUUGCUAAUCCUGAUAUUGAGGAGAAGCCGCCUAUGUCAUUGGAGGAGAUGCUGCAGAAAGUAAAGCCAUUCAUAGUUGCUUAUGAAGGCAUCCAGGACCAGGAAGAAUGGGAGGAUGCCGUGAAAGAUAUCAUGUUAAGGGCACCCCAUAUGAAAGAGCUGAUAGAUAUGUACAGUGGGCCUGAUGUCGUAACUGCAAUACAGCAAGAAGGGGAGCUGCAAAGGGUUGCCAACACUCUUCCAGAAAACAUACCCAAUUCAGUAAAGCGGUUUACUGAUAAAACUUUACUUUCUCUCAAGAAUAAUCCUGGCUGGGGUUUUGACAAGAAGUGUCAAUUCAUGGACAAGUUUGUUCGUGAAGUUUCAGAGCAAUACAAGUAA